UACGAAGGGGGGCUAGCGUUGCUCGGAAUCAUCUGGGCGUAAAGGGUGCGUAGGCGGGUCUUUAAGUCAGGGGUGAAAUCCUGGAGCUCAACUCCAGAACUGCCCUUUUGAUACUGAAGAUCUUUGAGUUCGGGGAGAGGUGAGUGGGAAACUGCGAGUGUAGAGGGUGAAAAUUUGUAGAUAUUCGCAAAGAACACCCAGUGGGCGAAAGGGCGGGCUCACUGGGCCCCGAUACUGACGCUGAGGGCACGAAAGCGUGGGGAAGCAAACAGGGAUUAAGAAACCCUUG
rnacentral:rRNA from 1 species